CCUACGUGAGGCAGCAGUCGAGAAUAAUUCACAAUGGGGUAAAGCCUGAUGGUGCGACGCCGCGUGGGGGAAUAAAGGUCUUCGGAUUGUAAACCCCUGUCAUGUGGGAGCAAAUCAAAAAGAUAGUACCACAAGAGGAAGAGACGGCUAACUCUGUGCCAGCAGCCGCGGUAAUACAGAGGUCUCAAGCGUUGUUCGGAAUUACUGGGCGUAAAGCGUGCGGAGGCUGUUUCGCAAGGCGUGUGUGAAAGGCGCGGGCUCAACCCGCGGACGGCACAUGAUACUGCGAGACUAGAGUAAGGGAGGGGGAACCGGAAUUCGCGGUGUAGCAGUGAAAUGCGUAGAUAUCGAGAGGAACACUCGUGGCGAAGGCGGGUUCCUGGACAUUAACUGACGCUGAGGCACGAAGGCCAGGGGAGCGAAAGGGAUUAGAUACCCUUGUAGUC
rnacentral:rRNA from 1 species